rnacentral:rRNA from 1 species
GAUGAACGCUGGCGGCGUGCUUAACACAUGCAAGUCGAACGAAGCACUUUAUUUGAUUUCCUUCGGGACUGAUUAUUUUGUGACUGAGUGGCGGACGGGUGAGUAACGCGUGGGUAACCUGCCUUGUACAGGGGGAUAACAGUUGGAAACGGCUGCUAAUACCGCAUAAGCGCACGGCAUCGCAUGAUUCAGUGUGAAAAACUCCGGUGGUAUAAGAUGGACCCGCGUUGGAUUAGCUAGUUGGUGAGGUAACGGCCCACCAAGGCGACGAUCCAUAGCCGACCUGAGAGGGUGACCGGCCACAUUGGGACUGAGACACGGCCCAAACUCCUACGGGAGGCAGCAGUGGGGAAUAUUGCACAAUGGGCGAAAGCCUGAUGCAGCGACGCCGCGUGAGCGAAGAAGUAUUUCGGUAUGUAAAGCUCUAUCAGCAGGGAAGAUAAUGACGGUACCUGACGAAGAAGCACCGGCUAAAUACGUG